UGCCAGAGAAAACUUCUGAUGACGGAAGGAGAUGAAUCGACUCAAGUAAGGAAACGAUUACUAUCUUUUUCUUUAUUAUUUUUUCGAAAUAAAAAAUAAAAAGCUGAAAAUCACCUUUGAAAUUUUCUUUAUAUUCUGUCUUUUUUUCUAUUGCUUUGUGUAUAUUUCUCCCCGUAAAAAUUAGAUUACAUGGUGGCCAUGGCUUUUAUAGUCGAAUAUGAUACACUUUGUUGUUUUUUUUUUUACUGUUUCACUACUGUCCUUUGCGACUGUUCUUUCCGUUUUUUUGCUUCUGUCCUUGUUCUUUCUUUUUUGCAGGUGUCCUUGGCCGCCGCCGACGACGGACAGACGAGGUGUCAGACCUUGAGCGACAAAACCGUUAGCGAAGUGGAGACGGCGGCACGCAGAAACCCUAAGGUUUCUGACUUUUUUGAAAAAAUUUAAGUUUUUGGGCCACUGGGCCUCUUUUUUUGCAUUUGGGCUUGUAAUAUUUUUUUGGCCAUUUUGUAAUUGUUUUAUUUAUUUAUUGUUUUUUGGGUUUAGUUUGGGUUGAUUAGUUUGGGCCUUUUAUUUGUUUGUAAUUCGGGCCCGAGCAAAAUUGGGCUAUUACAACCACAAGACAUCAUAUAAUGGUACACCAAAGCCAACAUUUAUAACAUUUACAUUAUUUACCCCUACUAAAUACUUACUAUGAUAUCAUUAAUUUAGUAAUUAACUACUUAAUUAACAUAAUUAUCUAAUUAACAUAACUUAAACAAAAUUACUACUUGAAGUACUUACAACCAAAAUUUGGAUGAUGAGUUUUUCUUCUCUUUUACUGGCCACUUUUUUUCCUUUCUUUUCACUUUUGUCCUCAAACUUCUUCUCUUUUCCUUUAAUUUCAUAACAACAUAUAACAUUUAUAAGUUAAAACUAAAAAUCAAAUAACUUUUCUGUACUAGAUUAUGAAAAUAAACAUGUAUGCUAUGAGAAUUUUCAUCAUCCUUACCUUUUUUGAAAACCCAAAACCCUAACUCAUGUAUUUCUCUCUUUUAACUCAUCUAUGGAAGUUUACUCAUGAAAUAAAGUUGCUCACUAGUCUUCUUUUUAGAUUUUACUAAAGAAAUUUCAAAGAAAAAUGAAAGUUUGGAGCUUAGAUGGUUCAACAAUGGAGGAAGGACAUGGAAGGAAAUAAAAGAAAAGUUGGAUAGAUUUUAGGGGGGGUGAGUGACAGUUGGUAUGUUGGAAAAGAUGAUAUCUUUCAUCUUUCCUCC
rnacentral:lncRNA from 1 species